rnacentral:lncRNA from 1 species
GAAAAAAACAAAACAAAACGGAGAAAUGGGGGAUAAAAGGCCCUCGCUAAACUAAGGACUUUGGAGAAGAACUCCCAAAGAAACCUUCGAUGGAGAAUUCCCUGAGGGAAAAACCACUUUGGAAGAACCCCCCCCCAGCGGAGGCUGCUUGCUGCGAAGAUUCCAGGCUUUCUCCCAUCCCCCACAGUGACCAGACCAGUUCUACAAACCUCGCCGGACCCACGGUGAAAGAUGAGAAAGCUGUCACUAUUUUUGAAGACCUAUACUUGACAACUGUAACAAGAUGUGGACAGAAGAGAUGAAGAAGUCCUAAAGAUUACCAAGCUGAAACUUAAGUCAACUUCUCAGGUUUAUCAAUCGUGUAGGCCUCUCAAAUAGUUGAAAGAGCUGUAACACAAUGGAAAACACUGCAACAGCAGUAGAACAGCAAAGUAUGAGACCGCAGGAAGUGAGGACUUGUGCAGAUGCAACGGAGGUGGGCAUUCAAACAAAGGAAAGAAUCUACUUACCUUCCACAGGCCUCAGGAACAGAAAAACAUCCAAGAUAUCCAACAAGAUCCUCUUCCCGCCACUGCCAACCCUUAAAUGAGAUCUGGGAAGGGGUGGAUCUUGGCUCCACCAUGCACUGCAUGCACCUGAGAUCCUCUGGGUUGGCUUUGCCUUCCUGCUAGGUGCUCAAUCACUGUUUCAAGCCAUGACUUAGCAUUUCUGCUAUACCACCUAUUUCUGACUGAACAUAUGAUUAUGAAAGGAUUCAGGCUGCAAAAACUUCCCCAGGUGUAUAAUGCCAGACUUUACUUCAAUAGAUUUUUUAUUUGUUUGGAAUUCUAUAUGUCUGUAUCAUGAUAUCGUGUAUUUGCAUCGUCCUUGUGACAAGAUAUAAUUCCAAGUUUCAGAG